rnacentral:snRNA from 1 species
GGAUAUGAGGGCGAUCUAGCUACAACAUCUGUCACCCUGUUGAUGGCCAGGGUUGAUCCGGCUGAUCUGGCUGCCGAGGCGGGUGUCCCCUUCCUUCCUCACCGCUCCACGUGCAUCCCUCCGGAAGUUGCAUGCUAGGUUGAAGAGGAUGACCAUCCCCAAUAGAGGAGGACCGGACUUUGGUCAAGGGUAUACAAGUAGCGACACUCCCCUGCUAGAAACUCCAAACAAGCUCUCAAGUUCCAGAAGGAAGUGAAAGAAGAAAACCAAAGUGU